rnacentral:tRNA from 1 species
GGGCCAUUAGCUCAAUUGGCUAGAGCGCUACAUUCGCAUUGUAGAGGUUACCGGUUCAAGUCCGGUAUGGUCCA